GACGAACGCUGGCGGCGUGCCUAAUACAUGCAAGUCGAACGCUUUUUCUUUCACCGGAGCUUGCUCCACCGAAAGAAAAAGAGUGGCGAACGGGUGAGUAACACGUGGGUAACCUGCCCAUCAGAAGGGGAUAACACUUGGAAACAGGUGCUAAUACCGUAUAACACUAUUUUCCGCAUGGAAGAAAGUUGAAAGGCGCUUUUGCGUCACUGAUGGAUGGACCCGCGGUGCAUUAGCUAGUUGGUGAGGUAACGGCUCACCAAGGCAACGAUGCAUGACCGACCUGAGAGGGUGAUCGGCCACACGGGGACGGAGACGCGGCCCAGACUCCUACGGGAGGUAGCAGUAGGGAAUCUUCGGCAAUGGACGAAAGUCUGACCGAGCAACGCCGCGUGAGUGAAGAAGGUUUUCGGAUCGUAAAACUCUGUUGUUAGAGAAGAACAAGGAUGAGAGUAAAACGUUCAUCCCUUGACGGUAUCUAACCAGAAAGCCACGGCUAACUACGUGCCAGCAGCCGCCGUAA
rnacentral:rRNA from 1 species